rnacentral:sRNA from 1 species
AGGGAUCAUUACACAAUAAACAUAUGAAGGCUGCACCGCCAACAGGCGGCAAGGCUGGAGUAUUUUAUUACCCUUGUCUUUUGCGCACUUGUUGUUUCCUGGGCGGGUUCGCCCGCCUCCAGGACCACAUGAUAAACCUUUUUUAUGCAGUUGCAAUCAGCGUCAGUACAACAAAUGUAAAUCAUUUACAACUUUCAACAACGGAUCUCUUGGUUCUGGCAUCGAUGAAGAACGCAGCGAAAUGCGAUACGUAGUGUGAAUUGCAGAAUUCAGUGAAUCAUCGAAUCUUUGAACGCACAUUGCGCCCUUUGGUAUUCCAAAGGGCAUGCCUGUUCGAGCGUCAUUUGUACCCUCAAGCUUUGCUUGGUGUUGGGCGUUUUUUGUCUUUGGUUUUGUCCAAAGACUCGCCUUAAAACGAUUGGCAGCCGGCCUACUGGUUUCGCAGCGCAGCACAUUUUUGCGCUUGCAAUCAGCAAAAGAGGACGGCACUCCAUCAAGACUCUAUAUCACUUUUGACCUCGGAUCAGGUAGGGAUACCCGCUGAACUUAA